UUUGACGUUAGCGACAGAAGAAGCACCGGCUAACUCCGUGCCAGCAGCCGCGGUAAUACGGAGGGUGCGAGCGUUAAUCGGAAUUACUGGGCGUAAAGCGCAUGCAGGUGGUUUGUUAAGUCAGAUGUGAAAGCCCGGGGCUCAACCUCGGAAUUGCAUUUGAAACUGGCAGACUAGAGUACUGUAGAGGGGGGUAGAAUUUCAGGUGUAGCGGUGAAAUGCGUAGAGAUCUGAAGGAAUACCGGUGGCGAAGGCGGCCCCCUGGACAGAUACUGACACUCAGAUGCGAAAGCGUGGGGAGCAAACAGGAUUAGAUACCCUGGUAGUCCACGCCGUAAACGAUGUCUACU
rnacentral:rRNA from 1 species